rnacentral:rRNA from 1 species
GCAAGUCGAGCGGAAAGGCCCUUUCGGGGGUACUCGAGCGGCGAACGGGUGAGUAACACGUGAGUAAUCUGCCCUGCGCUCUGGGAUAGCCACCGGAAACGGUGAUUAAUACCGGAUAGGACCACUUCACGCAUGUGAUGGUGGUGGAAAGUUUUUUCGGCGCAGGAUGUGCUCGCGGCCUAUCAGCUUGUUGGUGAGGUAACGGCUCACCAAGGCUUUGACGGGUAACCGGCCUGAGAGGGUGACCGGUCACACUGGGACUGAGACACGGCCCAGACUCCUACGGGAGGGCAGCAGUGGGGAAUAUUGGACAAUGGGCGGAAGCCUGAUCCAGCAACGCCGCGUGAGGGAUGACGGCCUUCGGGUUGUAAACCUCUUUCAGUACCGACGAAGCGAAAGUGACGGUAGGUACAGAAGAAGGACCGGCCAACUACGUGCCAGCAGCCGCGGUAAUACGUAGGGUCCGAGCGUUGUCCGGAAUUAUUGGGCGUAAAGGGCUCGUAGGCGGUUUGUCGCGUCGGGAGUGAAAACACCGGGCUUAACUCGGUGCUUGCUUUCGAUACGGGCAGACUAGUGGUAUGCAGGGGAGAAUGGAAUUCCUGGUGUAGCGGUGAAAUGCGCAGAUAUCAGGAGGAACACCGGUGGCGAAGGCGGUUCUCUGGGCAUUACCUGACGCUGAGGAGCGAAAGUGUGGGGAGCGAACAGGAUUAGAUACCCUGGUAGUCCACACCGUAAACGUUGGGCGCUAGGUGUGGGGCCUAUUCCAUGGGUUCCGUGCCGUAGCU